GAAGGUUUAUGCCCUCUUGUUCUCUGAGGAUGCAGAGAGCAGUUUUUUGUACUCGCAGUUCUGAUUACACCAGUAAUUGGAAAAUAAUCACAUCCCAAAGGGCCUCAGGGUCUUGAGUGGUACUUGUACUUGGGCACUAACAAAUAUUUCUCCCCUCUGAAGCAGGUAGUUGGGGAAAAUGCAGCACGAAGAGCUUCAGGAUGGGUUUUCCCAGCAGUCGUCCCAUAUCUUCCAUGUUUAGUUGCCAAGGAGGACUGGCAGGGAGCACUUCAGUUCUACGGAGUGGAUAAAUACCUGGAUCCUGGUACUCAGCCAGUUGUUCGGCUUCGGGUUUUGGAAAAAAAAAUAUGAUCGUUUACCUCUUGAAUGGAAACCACCACCUGGUCAUUAAAGCUUCUUCCAAAAGGCACUUACAAGAAAGGUCACAUAGCACAACCAAUUGGGUAAUUUAGCAGGUCUUGACUGGGGAUGCAGAAGGAAUCCGAGUCCUUGAGAUUCCUGUGUACUGUGCUUUCUUGAGCUCACCCUUGAGUCUGUCAACAGCGGUGUUGCCGGCAGCCACUCCUCUCAAUGUUCUGGUGCCCACAAAGAGAAAAGAUGCACAAAAGCACUUUGAAAAGAGAAAACUGCUAUACACAUGCAGGAUACAUGCAGGAAAACACGGAUGAUCGCUCUCCUUGUUGCAUGAGCCAAAGAGGAGGCAUCAAGGCUGAGAGCAUGAAGACAAGUUAAAAGACCAAAAAGUCAUCCAGACAAACUGAGCUGGCACAGCAGCAGAGGAAAUGACAAUAACUAAAGAGACUCCAAGACAGUCGGGAAAGGAACAUGUACAGUUCUUCAGAUGCAUGACUGUGAGGACCAAGAAGAGAGAAAACUAAAGGACAAACUUGGCUGGGGCACCAGGAGAUUCCUCAGCAUAUAUUUUUCUUGGUUUGGGGUAUUUCUAAAACUACCUGGCAACAAAGAAAGAAAAGCACCUUAAACUGAGAUUUAAAAGGCUGCGGAGUCACAAGGAUGCAGAUAAAUUCUUGUUUUCCCAAAACACCAAAU